UGGUGCGAUCAUACCAGCACUAAUGCACCGGA
rnacentral:rRNA from 1 species